CCAGGGGGCGCCAUGCUCCAGUAGGCGGCGCUCUCCUUGUGCUCUGUGUUCCAGCAUUGUGUCAAUAAGAAGUGGUGCUGUGAAGAGAACAAUAGUCAGACUGAAUGUUGAACAUCAGCUGCUUCCUCCUGCUGAUUUAAACCUUGGUGGACAGAUGGAACAUUGGCUGUGGAUUAUUCUGGCUGCUCUUUUCUCUGAGUGUAAAGGAGACUCAGUGAAGCAGACAGAAGGAGAAGUUGUUGCUGCUGCAGGAGAAUCACUGACUCUGAGAUGUACCUAUCAGACUACUGAUACAAAUCAUGCUGUGUUCUGGUACAGACAAGAAGAUAACAGCUUUGCAAAGUACAUGCUGAAGCAAUAUUUCACAACCAGAGACAAUGCUCCUGAGUUUAGCAAAGACAGAUUUGAUGCAAAGGUCAACAACUCAGAGUUUGACCUGAAGAUCCAGGAUCUCCGUCCGUCAGACUCUGCUGUGUACUACUGCGCUCUGCAGCCCACAGUGACAGGAAACAUCAGAACCCUGCACAAAAACCUGCAGUUCUGCACAGCAGCCAGUAGAGGGCCUCACUCCCUCUGUUCUUCCUCUGUUUCGUUGGGUUUCAGCCUGAAAUGACAUCAUGCUCAUUUUAAGUUGCUUGUUCUGUCUAAAGAGAAAAAACUGUCAAAUUUAUUUCUGUAGCAACUUUCAAAUCAACAAUAGUUGACCAAAGAGCUUCAGAUCUACAUCAGCAGUCAUAAGAUAGCAGAUGGAAUAAAACAGAUAUAAAAAAAUAAGAAUUUAUAUUUUAAGAUGUUUAGAUUUCUAAGACAUAUUUAGCUUCCAAUCCUCAGUCAAAUCCAGUUAAAUGAGAAAUGUUUAUUAAGAGACAUUUGAUAUGAUUCUUUACUGGGAUCUGAAUCAAAAUAACUGUUGAGUAAAAGAACAUUUUAAAUAAUAGAAAAUCUAAAUACGCAUUUAAUUUUAGUUAAAAAAAUAAAAGCUUUACAACUCUACCUAAUUUAAAAAUUGCAAGAUUGUAUAAUUAUUGCACAAAUAUUCAAAUAAAUUAUUUGAUAUUA